rnacentral:rRNA from 1 species
GACGAACGCUGGCGGCGUGCUUAACACAUGCAAGUCGAACGGAAAGGCCCUGCUUUUGUGGGGUGCUCGAGUGGCGAACGGGUGAGUAACACGUGAGUAACCUGCCCUUGACUUUGGGAUAACUUCAGGAAACUGGGGCUAAUACCGGAUAGGAGCUCCUGCUGCAUGGUGGGGGUUGGAAAGUUUCGGCGGUUGGGGAUGGACUCGCGGCUUAUCAGCUUGUUGGUGGGGUAGUGGCUUACCAAGGCUGUGACGGGUAGCCGGCCUGAGAGGGUGGCCGGCCACAUUGGGACUGAGAGACGGCCCAGACUCCUACGGGAGGCAGCAGGGGGGAAUAUUGCACAAUGGGCGGAAGCCUGAUGCGGCAACGCCGCGUGCGGGAUGACGGCCUUCGGGGUGUAAACCGCUUUCGCCUGUGACGAAGCGUGAGUGACGGUAAUGGGUAAAGAAGCACCGGCUAACUACGUG